GUACUUUCCAUCUUGAAAGCAUUGGAUGAUUCCUGUUGUUGGGGCUCUGACUUGAGAGGAAAAGCUUAGGGAGUUUGACAGAGUUCCAGGAAGGCUUCCUGUAAGAGGUGGCAUGAUGGUACUGUUAAUAAUUAUAACCAUUUGCUGUAUCACAUGUACCACAUGCCAGUCACUGUGUUACCUACAUACAUCAGCGAUGCCACUUCUUGCCAAGUCAUCCUUACAUCUCCUUGUGUGUGGAGUCCAGUUCUACUCACAGACAGCUCUUGCUAAAGAGCCGAGCAAGGAGUAACUGUGCAGCAGAUCUUUCACUUUAGGGCACAGUACCGACCCAAGGCCAGUCCCACUAUCUGUGAGUGAGUGGCCCAGCUUUAGUAGAUGAGGUGGACCAAUCCGAUCAGCUCUCCUUGGGAAUGUGAAAUAAGAGAUGCAGAGGGAUGUUGCCAGUUAGUUGUGGGGAGCUAAGCUGAGAGGUCCAGUACACCAAGAUGCUGGUUGGGUUGGGAGUGCUAUGGACUAGGUCAAGUGCCUGUUGAACAGCUAAAUGUAGUUGGCCAAGCAAGGACAUGGGGCAGUUGUGCAGAGAGAAGCAGGCUUGUGACGUGGAUGAGCCAUAUGAACGACAGACCUCUAGAGCAGAGAGGUUCAUGCUACAGCUAGACAUUUCCUCAAGCUCCAGGUACAAUGAGCUCUAUUUGAAUUCCUACCCUUGGAUUUCUGCUUCCUGAUCUUGCUUCAUUUGGUUUCUGUUUCUUGCAUCCAAAAGAGGCCCAACCCAAGCAACCCUUUCCAUAGAUUCCAUUUAAUUUGUGCUUCAUCCCCUCAGAGUACAGCCUUGUCAGCGCUGAGGCCCAGUGCAAAUUAAAUGACAACUGAUUGGCAUGAGUUGAUUAAAAUCUUCACUGGCCUGUUUGCUUAGAUCAUUCACUUCUUGUACAAUUAGAAGGAAUUUGCACUCUGAUGCCAAGUGGACUGUUCUAAGCAUCUGAGUUAGGAAAAUGGGGUUGGGGUUGUAGUGCUGAACCACCACACCUGACAUUACUGUUUGGGAAGGUCACCAGCCUUCUCAUACUGAAGGGGAAGAGCCAAGCCUUUGUUGAAAUAUACAUGCAAGAGGUUGCUGACACCACACGUAUCAGUGCCAUGCUGCCAGUCCAACUAUGUCUAGUUCUUCAAGCACAAGGUGCUCAAGACCAAUAGCUCCCCACACAAGGUGCAUGCCAAUCGGGUAAUCUUACAGGUGGUGAAGUCAGUACAUUUGAGAAACCUGGUCUUCAUGGGCUCCAGUGGCCCACAUACACCAAGAUGGUGAUGGUUGACCAGAACACCGAACUCAGGAUCAUCAUGGGAAAAUCUCUGCUACUCAGUGAUCCUGGAUGCUCUGCACCAGGCCUUCUUCAAGUGUGGCACUGUCCUCAGUAUCAUCAUCUUCACUAAGACCAACCAUUUCCAGGCAUACUAUCAGCAGCAGUUGCAACUGCAUCAUCAUUUCAAGUCUGAAGGUGUCAGGGAUUCCAUCUUGCUGGCUGGCAACCUGAACACAAGAAAGCACAGAGCCAAGCCCCUUUAUUCUCUUCAGUAUCUAUGGUUAUGUGAAGCAGGUGAAGAUCUUGUUCAACAAGGCGAAGACAGCAGGUAGGCCCAGCUGGCCAUGAGGCACCCAAACAAACUAUAUGGGGAGCCAAUGCAUAUUACAACAUCAAAGCACCAGAGUGUGCAGCUGCCUUGUGAGGGGCAGGAAGACUGGCUUCACCAAAGACGCUGAUAGCUCACCAGUGCACUGCUUCAAGAAGCUGGGCCCCAAGUUCUUUAAGAAUUUCUUCCUGUUCUCAGCCAUCCGGCAACUCAUCAACAUCCCUUCCUCAGUGUCAGAGCAGUUCCUCAAGAACUUCUCAAGCAACAAGGGCAUGACCAAGGGCUUCAAAUUCUUUCAGGGACUGCAGCCCUGAAUUCAUGCUCUCUGUCCCAUCCAUCAUCCCUACUAGAAGAACUACAUGAUGGUUCUGAUCCAGAUAAGUUUGUUGGAGGAAGAAGUGCAGGCACCCAUUAAGCUGCAAAUCCACGACCAAAGCAUCCCUGAACAAAAAGAAUAAUGCUGGUGGGAUUGUUACUCCAGAAUUCAGGAUAUAUUAUAGAUCUCUAGUAAUGAAAAUAUGGCACUGACAUCAAAGAGACAUGUAUGCCAAUGGGACAAAAUAGAAGACCCAAACAUGAGUACUUGUAACUGCAGCCAUCUGCUAUUUGAUAAAGAGGCAAAAAACAUACCCUGGAGAAAAGACAGAGCAUCUUCAACAAGUGGUGGGUAAAGCUGAAGACUGUAUGGCGACAUGCAGAUGAAUGGAUCGGACUCAUACCUGUCCAAUCAUACCCAACAUUAGAUCCAAGUGUACCAAUGACUUCAAUUUGAAACCUGCAACAUUAAAGCUGCUGGAAGUAAACAUAUGCAGUUUCCUUCAAGAGAUAAAUGAAGGGAAGGACCUUCUCAACAGGACCACAUUUGUUCAGGAAUUAAGGUCAGCAAUUGACAACAGGGACCUCAUAAAACUGAAGAGCUUUUGUGCAGCUAAGGAAAUAAUCAAGUGAAGAGGAAGCCUACAGAAUGGGAGAGGGUCAUUGCCAGCUACACAUCUGUUAGAGGGCUAAUAUCUACAAUAUAUGAGGAACUCAAAGAACAAAGAGUCAAGGAAACAAACAGCCCAAUUAAAAAGUGGGCUGGGGAUGUAGACAAUUUCAACAGAAGAAAUAGAAAGGGCUAAGAAAUACCUCAGAAAAAGUGUCCAACUUCCUUAGCAAUUAGGGUAAUGUAAACUAACCCAACGUUGACAAUUCUUAACGAGACUACUGACAACAAAUGCUGCUGCAGAUAUGUCAGCGGGAAUGUCAACUGGCACAGCCACUCUGAAAGUCCAUAUGGAGGAUCCUCAAAAAGCUAAAAAUAGCUCUACAAAAUAACCCAGCUCUACCCUUCGGCAUAUGCCCAAGGGGUAUCCUCCUCUACAGAUUCUUACCUGACUCUGUUCACUGUUGCUCUAUAGCUAGGAAAUGGAAACAAAUGAGAUGUCUGACAACUGACAAUUGAAUAAUGAAGAAGGUCUAAGAAUCCAGUAGUUAUUCAGUGCCAGAGGCUGGAUAUCUCAGCCGAUCUUCAGAAUAUGUCAGAGCCCUGGCAAAGUAGGCUCUAAUGCUCGUAAAGGGAUGGACUUGCUAACAAGGCGAGAGCAAGCACGCAAGGAAAGAGCAAGCUGCCUUCUUCGAUGUCCUUCCUAUAGGCUUCCAACAGAAGGUGUGGCCCAGGUUAAAGGUAGAUCUUUCCCAUCUCUAAGGAUCAGGAUUAAAAGUGAUCCUUCUCACUUCAGAUUAUUUAAUUAAAAAGGACCUCACAGGGAUAACCACUUGAGUUUAAUUAAUCCCAAAAGUAGUCAAGUUGACAGUCAAGAAUAGCCAUCACAGAAACCAGAGGUGGAGCUGGGUGGCUGGGUGUUGGACUUGACACAGGAAUAACAAGCAGUACACAGGUGAUAUGGAGUAGGAAAUAGCAAAAAAUAGGGAAGGGGUCCAACUUGGGAGGAGAGAGGGAGGUCAAUACAGACAGAGAAGGGAUGUGGGACAGAUAAAACUAAUAUUAUUUGAUAAAGCCCCAGAGAAUCAUUUUAUAUUUACCUAAGAUUAUAUACAAUAGAAGAACAAGUGUAUGUGUAUAAUGGAUUGUGUGUGUGUGUGUGUGUGUGUGUGUGUGUGUGUGUGUGUGUAUGUACUGACAAUGUUCCCCACAAGAAUCAUAGAUUAAAAGGUAGCCCAGUACCAAGCCUGGUUCAAAUGGCUAAGGUAGUCCAAGUGAUUCUGAGUAUAGAUGUAGCCCUUGGUUGCCUGUCAGCGGUGGAGGAUAGACCCCGUUGCUGAAUAGACCAAACACUUAGGAUAUACAAUCUUGAGCUGGAUGUGACCUAAAAACCUCUUUUCUGUGGUCUAGCUUCCACUGUUUCAGAAAAUACUAUGGAAGCUGUCAAGGGAGGAAAAUACUUAAACAGUCCUACCCAGUCUUACCUAUGAACCAGAACAAUUGCCAUCACGGUAAGACUGUAGGUAGAAUAAGUGACAAUAACAUGUUGGCAACCAAGAGCUCUGUCAUAGACUUAAAGCCCACCCACUAGGAGGGAAGUAAUGCCUGGUACUUGAAUCCUAGUCAACUUCAUGGGGCUAGUGAGGUUAUGGACUGCAGAAAAGAGUGCACUGCUGCCACUUUGCUAGACCAGCAUAAUUCCUAAUACAUUUUAAAUCUUAUCCUUAUACCCAGAGAUAAUGUAACUACCACCAGGAAGCCUGUCUCUACUGCAAAUGGAAACCAUCACAGGAAACCACAACUGGGCACACUGCACAGACUGGCAGAUUGGGGGAGCUCAGGCCCACGGACACGUAAAGCUCAGCUCUAUGGCCCAGGAAACACUGAGGAAGAGAGUGGAAAGAUUGUAAGAGCAAGAAUACCUGGAAGCCUGCGAAGUUUCUUCCAGAAAUGGCUGUAUAAAUAAAACCAGAACAAUGCCAAUGUCAAUGGAAAUUUUGACAUAGGAGAGCAAAAUUUUCACUGGACAGAGAACUCUAGGCAACCAAUGAGUCCUGGGAGAAUUAGCCUCUCCCAAGGAUAAGCCCAAAUACUGGUUGUCUGAUGCAGAGUGAUCAGACUAGAGACCAUUUAUACUCAAACAACAAAAGUGGACUCAGUAGCUUGGAUGUAUACACACAUAUACAUAGAUAUGCAUGUAACAAUAAUAACAGAACAAGCCCAUCAACCUGAGAGUAAGGGCUGGAUAGGUAGAGGCUGGAGGGAGGGAAGGCAGAGAGAGAAGCAAGGUGUAAUUCUGCUUUAAUUAAAAACUUAUCAACUGAAA
rnacentral:sRNA from 1 species